GUAUUACGGUACAGAGUCAAUGUGGAGGCUAUAUACAGGGUGUUACGGUACAGAGUCAAUGUGGAGGCUAUAUACAGGGGGUACCGGUACAGAGUCAAUGUGGAGGCUAUAUACAGGGUGUUACGGUACAGAGUCAAUGUGGAGGCUAUAUACAGGGUAUUACGGUACAGAGUCAAUGUGGAGGCUAUAUACAGGGUGUUACGGUACAGAGUCAAUGUGGAGGCUAUAUACAGGGUGUUACGGUACAGAGUCAAUGUGGAGGCUAUAUACAGGGUGUUACGGUACAGAGUCAAUGUGGAGGCUAUAUACAGGGUGUUACGGUACAGAGUCAGUGUGGAGGCUAUAUACAGGGUGUUACGGUACAGAGUCAGUGUGGAGGCUAUAUACAGGGUGUUACGGUACAGAGUCAAUGUGGAGGCUAUAUACAGGGUGUUACGGUACAGAGUCAAUGUGGAGGCUAUAUACAGGGUGUU
rnacentral:lncRNA from 1 species